AACGAACGCUGGCGGCAGGCUUAACACAUGCAAGUCGAACGCCCCGCAAGGGGAGUGGCAGACGGGUGAGUAACGCGUGGGAACCUACCCAAAGGUACGGAACAACCAAGGGAAACUUUGGCUAAUACCGUAUACGCCCUACGGGGGAAAGAUUUAUCGCCUUUGGACGGGCCCGCGUUGGAUUAGGUAGUUGGUGGGGUAACGGCCUACCAAGCCGACGAUCCAUAGCUGGUCUGAGAGGAUGAUCAGCCACACUGGGACUGAGACACGGCCCAGACUCCUACGGGAGGCAGCAGUGGGGAAUCUUGGACAAUGGGGGAAACCCUGAUCCAGCCAUGCCGCGUGAGUGAAGAAGGCCUUAGGGUUGUAAAGCUCUUUCGGCGGGGACGAUAAUGACGGUACCCGCAGAAGAAGCCCCGGCUAACUCCGUGCCAGCCGCCGCCGUAACAC
rnacentral:rRNA from 1 species